rnacentral:misc_RNA from 1 species
UCCGAGUUGACCCCGGCAGUCUCCUAUGAGUCCCCACCAUCACGUGCUGGCAACAUAGGACGAGGGUUGCGCUCGUUGCGGGACUUAACCCAACAUCUCACGACACGAGCUGACGACAACCAUGCACCACCUGUGCACGGCCCUUACGGACCCACCAUCUCUGGAGGAUUUCCGUGCAUGUCAAGCCUAGGUAAGGUGGGGAUGACGUACUUGCUAGGUAA